GGAAAUUCAGACUGUUGUAACAUAUAGACAGGCUCUGAUGAGUUGAGAUGGUGAAUUCAAGUCACCAUUUAAAAAAAAAUGAUAAGUGAAAAAACCUGGAUUCUCUCAACUUGUUUUGUUCUGCUUUGCUUUUUUUUUUUCUUUUAACCAAUCAAUCUCUUAUUGAUAGAUUUUGUGUAAAAAAAUUAUACAAGUUUCUUUAGGAAGAUUAACAAUAAAAAUCAUGUUUAUUUC
rnacentral:lncRNA from 1 species